AUGCAAUAAGUAAUGUGAAUUGCAGAAUCUCAUGAAUUAUCAAAUCUUUGAAUGCACAUUGCACCCUAUGGUAUUCCGUAGGGCAUGCCUGUCUGAGCGUUAGCUCCCCCCACACUCAAGUCUCUUAAUUGAAGCUUGGAUUACUUGAAAGAAGUGGCUGAAACACAAUAGGCUACUCUUUGGAAAAUCAUAGGCAGUAUGGCACCUGAACCAGGCGUAAUAAGGAUAUAAAAGCGUCUCUUUUUAGGAAGGUUGUACUUGCCUUAACCCACCUAUUUUCUUCUAGGUGACCUCAGAUCAGGUAGGGAUACUUACUGAACUUAA
rnacentral:rRNA from 1 species